GAUGAACGCUGGCGGCGUGCCUAAUACAUGCAAGUCGAGCGAACGGACGAGAAGCUUGCUUCUCUGAUGUUAGCGGCGGACGGGUGAGUAACACGUGGAUAACCUACCUAUAAGACUGGGAUAACUUCGGGAAACCGGAGCUAAUACCGGAUAAUAUUUUGAACCGCAUGGUUAAAAAGUGAAAGACGGUCUUGCUGUCACUUAUAGAUGGAUCCGCGCUGCAUUAGCUAGUUGGUAAGGUAACGGCUUACCAAGGCAACGAUGCAUAGCCGACCUGAGCGGGUGAUCGGCCACACUGGAACUGAGACACGGUCCACACUCCUAAGGGAGGCAGCAGUAGGGCAGCUGCCGGAAUGCGCGAAAGCCUGACGGAGCACCGUCGCGUGAGUGAUGAAGGUCUUCGGAUCGUAAAACUCUGUUAUGAGGGAAGAACAUAUGUGUAAGUAACUGUGCACAUCUUGACGGUACCUAAUCAGAAAGCCACGGCUACCUACGUG
rnacentral:rRNA from 1 species